UAUAUCAUAAUUUAUCCUCACUCCUUUUCUCUAUGAAAACGAGAGGUAUGUGGAACAACUGACUACUUUAGAAAAAUUUUGGAUUAGAAAUCUACCAACAAAUUCAAAAAAUUUUUUCGUAAAUGAUAACUGCAAAAGCUUUUCCAUAUAAUGUAUAUACGUAACACAUAAUAUAAUCAUGAGCAAUAAUAAAUAUCGAAUUUCACUAUAUAUUAAAUUAUUCUUUCUUUUU
rnacentral:lncRNA from 1 species